rnacentral:rRNA from 1 species
CCUACCUACGGGGGGCAGCAGUCGGGAAUAUUGCGCAAUGGAGGCAACUCUGACGCAGUGACGCCGCGUAUAGGAAGAAGGUUUUCGGAUUGUAAACUAUUGUCCUCAGGGAAGAGAAAAGACUGUACCUGAGAAGAAAGCUCCGGCUAACUACGUGCCAGCAGCCGCGGUAAUACGUAGGUGGCAAGCGUUGUCCGGAUUUAUUGGGCGUAAAGCGAGUGCAGGCGGUUCAAUAAGUCUGAUGUGAAAGCCUUCGGCUCAACCGGAGAAUUGCAUCGGGAACUGUUUAAAUU